rnacentral:lncRNA from 10 species
AAGAAGAGCAAUGUAUCGUCUACUAGUUCUGCCUUGGGAGAUGGUCUGCGGAAGUGUUGGGGAUCUGACAGAGAAUGAGAUCACAAGGGGCUGGACUUGGAUUUGGAAUUUAAAGAUUACAUUGAGCCUGCAAACUUACAAACAUCCUGUAUACUACAAACUUGUUAUGUCUUCUUCUUAUACAGUUAUAGUCAGUGCCAGUAGACUGAGAGUUUUGGCAAAUCCACAGUGACUCGCCUAUUCUCUGUGGUGGACACUGUUGCAUGGAAGGAGCUCCCAGGAUUCCCCAGGCGUGUUCUUCUGGUAUGGUGGCUUCUGACUUGGCUUGGGUUACUGAGCCAACUUGAUACCUUCGGUGCUCUGUCUGCUUUUUGCUGUUACCAAGGAUAGUGGACUCCACCCGAGGAAGUUACAACAGGUAGGAGGAGGAGGGAGAAUCAUCCUGAAGAAAAGGAUGAAUUCGCUGUCUGAGAAAAUAUUACCCUAACCAAGCCCAUGGAGUUCUAAGUAUUUGUGUAGACUGUAUGACUGUUCCAAACACUUCACUCUCUCCCAGGAACACAUGAUACAUCUGUACUCUUUGCCAUGUGACUGUAUGACGCCUCCUAGUAAGGAGAGCUUCCUAGGGUGGCAGAUACAUGCAGCCAAUUUAAGCCCAACCUGUAGGCAGAAGCAGAGCUACCCAGCUAAUCUGCAGACAUGCGGGGAACUUGUCUGCUUUAGAAAUGCUGCCUGAUGGACCAGCACCAAGGACGUUUCUUCAGAAGAAAAGCUGUCUCUUUCCCCUGUUCUCUUACAUUCUUUUGCAUAAGGCAGGUACUCGAUAAAUUGAACUGAUUAGUUGCACUGCCCAAUAAGGUAGUCAUUAUCACCUCUGGCUAUUUAAAUUUAAAUUAUUCACAAUUAAACAAAAUAAAAAUUCAAGUUCUCAAUAGCCACAUGUGGCUAGAGGCCACCAUAUUAGACAGCACAGAUGUGGACCAUUUCCAUCAUCACAAAGUUCUGUUGGACAGUGGCUACGUCUAGAUUCCAGAGGUUGGGUAAUUUAUUAAUUCUGAAGGCUGGGAGAAGUAAAUUCUUUGUGGUUUGAUGAUAUGAGUGCUGCGACGAUAGGAUGGAGAGAGGAGAAAGGGAAUAAAAGAAAAAAAUGAGCUCUAUAAUCUCCUUUUACCUUUGGUUUAG